rnacentral:lncRNA from 10 species
AGCCGAUAUCGCACCACUGCACUCCAGCCUAGGCGACAGAGCGAGACUCCGUCUCAAAAAAAAAAAAAAAAUUCGCAGUCAGAAACUUUAAAACCAUGAUCACAACUGUACUCUGUAUUUCCAAGAAGCUAGAGGAAAGAUUAAACCUGUUGAAUAGAGGCAUAGAAGAGAUACAAAAGAUCCCAGCUGAACUUGUAGAGAUGAAAAUUAUGGUAUCUGAGAAACACCGGGGAGGGAUUAAUAGGCUAUUAUCCACAACAGAGGAAAAGAUGAGUGAACUUGACUUGAAGAAAUAGCCAUAGAAACUACCCAAAAUGAACUACACACGGAGAUAAGAAUGAACAAAUUCGGAACAGAUCAUCAGUAAAUGGUGGGACAACUUUGAGUGGCCUAAUAUAUGUGUAAUUGGAGUCCCUGAAAAAAAGAUGGGGAGAAAAAUACAAAAAGAUCAGAAAUGGUAACUACAUGAGUAAAUGUAAAGAUUGGGGUGUAGGGGCUUUUCUAAAUCUCUUUAAAAGAACUGCUUAGGCCGGGCACGGUGGCUCACACCUGUAAUCCCAGCACUUUGGGAGGCCGAGGGGGGCAGAUCACGAGGUCAGGAGAUCGAGACCAUGAGACCAUCCUGGCUAACACGGUGAAACCCUGUCUCUACUAAAAAUACAAAAAAUUAGCCGGG